rnacentral:tRNA from 1 species
UACCGGAAGGUGCACUUGGAACAAUAUCAGAGUGUAGCUAAAAAGUAUAGCAUCUC